UACGGAGGGGGCAAGCGUUGUUCGGAAUUACUGGGCGUAAAGCGCGCGUAGGCGGCGAUGCAAGUCAGAGGUGAAAUGCCCGGGCUCAACCUGGGAGGUGCCUUUGAUACUGUGUUGCUUGGAUCCAGGAGAGGUGAGCGGAAUUCCGAGUGUAGAGGUGAAAUUCGUAGAUAUUCGGAAGAACACCAGUGGCGAAGGCGGCUCACUGGCCUGGUAUCGACGCUGAGGUGACGACAGGCGUGGGGACAGCAAACGAGGUAUUACCGGAUACCCGCGUAGUCC
rnacentral:rRNA from 1 species